UUCCUCCCGAGUGCUUGCACUCAAUUGGAAAGAGGAGUGGCGGACGGGUGAGUAACACGUGGGUAACCUACCCAUCAGAGGGGGAUAACACUUGGAAACAGGUGCUAAUACCGCAUAACAGUUUAUGCCGCAUGGCAUAAGAGUGAAAGGCGCUUUCGGGUGUCGCUGAUGGAUGGACCCGCGGUGCAUUAGCUAGUUGGUGAGGUAACGGCUCACCAAGGCCACGAUGCAUAGCCGACCUGAGAGGGUGAUCGGCCACACUGGGACUGAGACACGGCCCAGACUCCUACGGGAGGCAGCAGUAGGGAAUCUUCGGCAAUGGACGAAAGUCUGACCGAGCAACGCCGCGUGAGUGAAGAAGGUUUUCGGAUCGUAAAACUCUGUUGUUAGAGAAGAACAAGGACGUUAGUAACUGAACAUCCCCUGACGGUAUCUAACCAGAAAGCCACGGCUAACUACGUGCCAGCAGCCGCGGUAAUACGUAGGUGGCAAGCGUUGUCCGGAUUUAUUGGGCGUAAAGCGAGCGCAGGCGGUUUCUUAAGUCUGAUGUGAAAGCCCCCGGCUCAACCGGGGAGGGUCAUUGGAAACUGGGAGACUUGAGUGCAGAAGAGGAGAGUGGAAUUCCAUGUGUAGCGGUGAAAUGCGUAGAUAUAUGGAGGAACACCAGUGGCGAAGGCGGCUCUCUGGUC
rnacentral:rRNA from 1 species